rnacentral:lncRNA from 1 species
GAGGAAGAGGAAGAACAAGAAGAGUAGAAGAAAAGAAUAAUAAUAAUAAUAAUAAUAAUAAUAAUAAUAAUAAUAAUAAUAAUAAUAAUAACAACAACAAAAAUAAUGAUAAUAAUAAUAAGAAGAAGAAGAAGAAAAAAUAGUAUAAGAAGAAGAGGAAAAAUGAAAAGAAGUAAGAAGAAGAAGAACAAGAAGAAGAAGAAGAAGAGGAAGAAGAAGGAGAAUAAGAAGAAGAGGAGGAGGAUGAGACCAAAAGAAGAAGAAGAAGACGAAAAAGUAAAGGAGGAGAAGAGGAGAAGAAGAAGGGGAGAAGAAG